CUCAGGGAAACCAGGACAGCAGAGAUGGGGCUGGAGUGGCCUGAGAGAAGGGCAGUGGUGGGAGAGGAGACCUAGGACGUCAGGGGGCCCAGGUCCUGCAGGCCUUGGGGCUGCUCUGAGGACUUUUACUCUGGGUGAGGUGGGAGGCCCAGAAGGAUGCUGAGCUGAGGGGGACAGGCCCCGAAUGUCAUGAAGGGAUGAAGUGGGAACGGCUAGCGACAUGUGCCCUUAUCAUCCCAUUAAAACUUAAUCACUCUUCCACUCCCCUUUCCAUUCCUUAAAAAAUAGCCCUAAAGGCUGCUCCCACACGGGAAAGAGGGUGUUGGAGGAGACCUGCAGACCCGUCCAAACUUGUCCUGCUAGCUAUGCUCAGGAUAGCUAGGAUUCAGCUAGAGAGCUCAAAGCCUGUCUCGGUCUACAGCUCAUACCUUCUGACCCUCAGUUAUACUUAAAAGCCAUUUGUGAAUGGAGUAAGAAGCCAGUCCGGGAAGAAAUGAAGAGUGUUUAGGCACUCAAACAGAGCCGGACGAACAUGAUAACAACUCAGAUAUAAGGAUGAAGGGCAAAAAAGACAAAUUUAUUUCUAAUGACUCCACUGCCUCUCGGCAGGCUAGGGCACUAAAUGCUCCCUUGCCCAGAUACAAUAAACAAAGUCCACACAUGUAGACUAAACAGGAUCGGGACUGCUGGUGGUACUCAUCCCUGUGCUCUCCUGGUUCUCCAAUGUUCUACAUGGAAUAUGUAUGCAUCUCUGUCAGUGGAGAAGUGACCCCAUUCUCAAACAAACAAACAAACAAACAAACAAAAGAACACUUGGCAUCCUCCCACACAGGAAGGAGUUCAUGUCUUGUUCUAGUCAUAUGCGCGGAGGUUUUCUGUAGCUGAAAUCCUAGACUGCACUCCUAGACUGCACAUGUGAUACUCUC
rnacentral:lncRNA from 1 species